rnacentral:rRNA from 1 species
GAUCAUGGCUCAGGAUGAACGCUGGCGGCGUGCCUAAUACAUGCAAGUCGAGCGGGGUAGCCUGCUACCCAGCGGCGAACGGGUGAGUAACAUGUAGGUAACCUGCCUUCGAGUCCGGAAUACCCAGGCGAAAGCUUGGCUAAUGCCGGAUAACAGCGGACCCCGCCUGGGGCCCGCGUGAAAGCCGCCCCAAAGCGGCGCUCCUAGAUGGACCUGCGGCGCAUUAGCUAGUUGGCGGGGCAACGG